rnacentral:rRNA from 1 species
GAUGAACGCUGGCGGCGUGCCUAAUACAUGCAAGUAGAGCGAACGGACGAGAAGCUUGCUUCUCUGAUGUUAGCGGCGGACGGGUGAGUAACACGUGGAUAGCCUACCUAUAAGACUGGGAUAACUUCGGGUAACCGUAGCUAAUACCGGAUAAUAUUUUGAACCGCAUGGUUCAAAAGUGAAAGACGGUCUUGCUGUCACUUAUAGAUGGAUCCGCGCUGCAUUAGCUAGUUGGUAAGGUAACGGCUUACCAAGGCAACGAUGCAUAGCCGACCUGAGAGGGUGAUCGGCCACACUGGAACUGAGACACGGUCCAGACUCCUACGGGAGGCAGCAGUAGGGAAUCUUCCGCAAUGGGCGAAAGCCUGACGGAGCAACGCCGCGUGAGUGAUGAAGGUCUUCGGAUCGUAAAACUCUGUUAUUAGAGAAGAACAUAUGUGUAAGUAACUGUGCACAUCUUGACGGUACCUAAUCAGAAAGCCACGGCUAACUACGUG